GUGGGGAAUAUUGGGCAAUGGGGGAAACCCUGACCCAGCAACGCCGCGUGAGGGAAGAAGGUUUUCGGAUUGUAAACCUCUGUCCUUGGUGAAGAAGGAAGUGACGGUAGCCAAGGAGGAAGCCCCGGCUAACUACGUGCCAGCAGCCGCGGUAAUACGUAGGGGGCGAGCGUUGUCCGGAAUGACUGGGCGUAAAGGGCGUGUAGGCGGCGGAUUAAGUCCGGAGUGAAAGUCCUGCUUUCAAGGUGGGAAUUGCUUUGGAAACUGGUUUGCUUGAGUGCGGAAGAGGUAAGUGGAAUUCCCAGUGUAGCGGUGAAAUGCGUAGAGAUUGGGAGGAACACCAGUGGCGAAGGCGACUUACUGGGCCGUAACUGACGCUGAGGCGCGAAAGCGUGGGGAGCGAACAGGAUUAGAAACCCGGGUAGUCC
rnacentral:rRNA from 1 species